rnacentral:tmRNA from 1 species
GGGGCUGAUAUAGCUUUCGACAAUUGGACGUUAUCAAGAUAGUUUGCGAACCGACGAUACGCGUAACGUAUGAUAUAUCUGCAAAGAACUUUGCAAGCAAGGUUGCUAGCCUGUUCCAGGUUCGCGCCUUUGCACCAGCUGUAGCGUAAUUUUUUACAGCCAUCUUGUCGCACAGGCAACAUAGUGCGUGCGAGGUGUCAUAGUGAUGUUGCUUGCUGUGCGUUCGGGCAGCAGCGAAUGCGCGGGACUACUACUGCGUAACGAGGCUUGGUAUUUUCGACUUAUUUUGAGCCAAGCCUUGUUAUAAAACAACGAAAUAAGCCUAUGUUCGUAGACGACUAUCGUGAUACCAGUUGGACCCGGGGGCGGUACCCGGCAGCUCCACCA